CCUACGGGAGGCUGCAGUGAGGAAUAUUGGGCAAUGGGCGCAAGCCUGACCCAGCAACGCCGCGUGAAGGAAGAAGGCUUUCGGGGUGUAAACUUCUUUUAAGAGGGAAGAGCAGAAGACGGUACCUCUUGAAUAAGCCACGGCUAACUACGGGCCAGCAGCCGCGGUAAUACGUAGGUGGCAAGCGUUGUCCGGAUUUACUGGGUGUAAAGGGCGUGCAGCCGGGAAGACAAGUCAGAUGUGAAAUCCCGCGGCUCAACCGCGGAACUGCAUUUGAAACUGUUUUUCUUGAGUACCGGAGAGGUAAUCGGAAUUCCUUGUGUAGCGGUGAAAUGCGUAGAUAUAAGGAAGAACACCAGUGGCGAAGGCGGAUGACUGGACGGCAACUGACGGUGAGGCGCGAAAGCGUGGGGAGCAAACAGGAUUAGAUACCCUUGUAGUC
rnacentral:rRNA from 1 species